GAGAGUACCGUCAAUCCUGCAGGGUAUUAACCUACCGAACUUAUUCCUCUCCGACAGCGCUUUACGACCCGAAGGCCUUCAUCGCGCACGCGGCGUCGCUCCGUCAGACUUUCGUCCAUUGCGGAAAAUUCCU
rnacentral:rRNA from 1 species